UAGGGAAUCUUCGGCAAUGGACGAAAGUCUGACCGAGCAACGCCGCGUGAGUGAAGCAGGUUUUCGGAUCGUAAAACUCUGUUGUUAGAGAAGAACAAGGACGUUAGUAACUGAACGUCCCCUGACGGUAUCUAACCAGAAAGCCACGGCUAACUACGUGCCAGCAGCCGCGGUAAUACGUAGGUGGCAAGCGUUGUCCGGAUUUAUUGGGCGUAAAGCGAGCGCAGGCGGUUUCUUAAGUCUGAUGUGAAAGCCCCCGGCUCAACCGGGGAGGGUCAUUGGAAACUGGGAGACUUGAGUGCAGAAGAGGAGAGUGGAAUUCCAUGUGUAGCGGUGAAAUGCGUAGAUAUAUGGAGGAACACCAGUGGCGAAGGCGGCUCUCUGGUCUGUAACUGACGCUGAGGCUCGAAAGCGUGGGGAGCAAACAGG
rnacentral:rRNA from 1 species